rnacentral:rRNA from 1 species
GUACACGUGGAUAACCUGCCCUAAGGAAGGGGAUACCCCCGGGAAACUGGGGAUAAUACCCUAUAGGUUACAGAUGCUGGAAUGCUCUGUACCCGAAAGUUCCGGCGCCUUAGGAUGGAUCUGCGGCCGAUUAGGUUGUUGUCGGGGUAACGGCCCAACAAGCCAGUAAUCGGUACGGGUUGUGGGAGCAAGAGCCCGGAGUUGGAUUCUGAGACACGAAUCCAGGCCCUACGGGGCGCAGCAGGCGCGAAAACUUUACAAUGCGGGCAACCGUGAUAAGGGAACCUCGAGUGCCUGUAUAUGCAGGCUGUCUGGGUGUCUAAAACACACCUAAAGAAAGGGCCGGGCAAGACCGGUGCCAGCCGCCGCGGUAAUACCGGCGGCUCGAGUGGUGGCCACUUUUAUUGGGCUUAAAGCGUUCGUAGCUGGGUUAUUAAGUCCCUUGGGAAAUCCGACGGCUUAACCGUCGGGCGUCUAAAGGGAUACUGGCAAUCUUGG